UUGUUAAAAGUGUAUUUGGUUAGCCGUAAGAUAUAUCAAAAAUUACUUUUUGGCUUGAAAUUUUGAUAUUUGGAUAUUUGUUUAGCCAUACUUUCGAAAAACUAUUUUUACAUAUUUGAGAAAAAUAGUGUUUUCGUUUUCUGCCGAAAAUCGGCGAAAAACGAAAAUUCAAGCCGCAUAAAACUUUUUUCAUUCAUUUUUUUUUCUACCAAACCAAACGAAUGCGAAUUUUUUUCUUUCGAUCAAACAAAUAUAGAUGAACAAAUUACUUUUUUUUCUACGAACCAAAAACAAUAAAACGUAAAACUCUUUCCCAUCAAUUUUUUUUCUUUCACAAAAAUUAUUUUUUUCUAUUUUACGUACAACCAAACACCAUCUUAGUUACGAGUUUCGGAACAUUAUUUUC
rnacentral:lncRNA from 1 species